GUGGUGACAGUAUGUGUUUACUUGUUUCCGAUGCCUUUUGUGUAACGAUUGACUUAAGUUUAUGACCAACAGUUCAACAUUAGUGUUUGUGCAGCUGCAGGGAUGCUGAAAUUUUUUGAUGGAUGCCUAAAGUGAUAGAUUUGAUGCCACCUCAAGUGAGUAAUGGUAUUUGCUGAGUUAUAAGGAAUAGCUUUAACAAGGCACUGGAUCAAAAUGAUAUCUUAAUUUUCCCCGCAGCUCCUUCAGCUGCUUAUAUCAUCGAUUUCUGUCUCAUACCUCUGAUUAUAUAUUAACAAGACAAAUAGAGUUUGGUUCGUGUUUUGAUUACUGCUAUUGAACUUCAUCAAUAUGAUGCAUUCGUCAUCAUCUUGUCACGAAGCUAAGUCAUGGAGUUAGUAAUGGGCAAGGACCUAGUAUUAGAUGGUCAUGGGCAUGGAACUCAUCAUGGAGAUGCAUAGUCUUAAUUAUAGUGUUUAUCAAUGAAGAAUGUAUACUUAGAUAUUUAAUUUUGAUGGCUUGAGUUAAGAUUCAAUAGCAUACUGGCAAGUCAUAUGCACAAUUAGGAAUCCACAACUUGUGUUGUCAUGUUGAGCUUUUGCUUUAUGUGAAGGUUCUGGUGAUCAUUUUGAUAUGAAAGUGAUGUAUCAAUGAAGAAUGUAUA